UAAGGUGUUUAUUGCAAUGAGGUACACCUCUUCCCAUUCCGAACAGAGAAGUUAAGCUCAUUAGCGCCGAUGGUACUGCAGCAAUGUGGGAGAGUAGGACGACGCCCUAUUUUCAGCGAGGCUAAUUCCAAUUAGGAGUUAGCCUCGCUUUGUUUUU
rnacentral:rRNA from 1 species